CUACACAUGCAGUCGAGCGGUAACAGAGAGAAGCUUGCUUCUUUGCUGACGAGCGGCGGACGGGUGAGUAAUGCUUGGGAACAUGCCUUGAGGUGGGGGACAACAGUUGGAAACGACUGCUAAUACCGCAUAAUGUCUACGGACCAAAGGGGGCUUCGGCUCUCGCCUUUAGAUUGGCCCAAGUGGGAUUAGCUAGUUGGUGAGGUAAUGGCUCACCAAGGCGACGAUCCCUAGCUGGUUUGAGAGGAUGAUCAGCCACACUGGGACUGAGACACGGCCCAGACUCCUACGGGAGGCAGCAGUGGGGAAUAUUGCACAAUGGGCGCAAGCCUGAUGCAGCCAUGCCGCGUGUGUGAAGAAGGCCUUCGGGUUGUAAAGCACUUUCAGUCAGGAGGAAAGGUUGGCGGUUAAUACCCGUUAGCUGUGACGUUACUGACAGAAGAAGCACCGGCUAACUCCGUGCCAGCAGCCGCGGUAAUACGGAGGGUGCGAGCGUUAAUCGGAAUUACUGGGCGUAAAGCGUACGCAGGCGGUUUGUUAAGCGAGAUGUGAAAGCCCCGGGCUCAACCUGGGAACUGCAUUUCGAACUGGCAAACUAGAGUGUGAUAGAGGGUGGUAGAAUUUCAGGUGUAGCGGUGAAAUGCGUAGAGAUCUGAAGGAAUACCGAUGGCGAAGGCAGCCACCUGGGUCAACACUGACGCUCAUGUACGAAAGCGUGGGGAGCAAACGGGAUUAGAUACCCCGGUAGUCCACGCCGUAAACGAUGUCUACUAGAAGCUCGGAGCCUCGGUUCUGUUUUUCAAAGCUAACGCAUUAAGUAGACCGCCUGGGGAGUACGGCCGCAAGGUUAAAACUCAAAUGAAAUUGACGGGGGCCCGCACAAGCGGUGGAGCAUGUGGUUUAAUUCGAUGCAACGCGAAGAACCUUACCUACACUUGACAUACAGAGAACUUACCAGAGAUGGUUUGGUGCCUUCGGGACUCUGAUACAGGUGCUGCAUGGCUGUCGUCAGCUCGUGUUUGUGAGAUGUUGGGGUUAGUCCCGCAACGAGCCGCAAC
rnacentral:rRNA from 1 species